CACUCAUUAUCUUAUACUCUCUCUUGAGUUGAGAUUAUUAUGUGUUCAUCCACAAGGUUUUGUUUUUCCCUUCAAUUUGUUGUUACUUUCUCGAGAAUGAUUAUUGAGUAGGGACUGAUGGCAUUCAAAUGAAAAGUCUCCACUUGAUUGGUUAAGUUAUUAUAGAAAACAUGUCUAUUGUUGAAGUUGCUUCCAAUUUCUACUUGGUGAUCAUGGCAUUUUUUAUUUUGAGAAAAAUAAUCAAUUGGGUAUGAUUUUUGUACCUCAGCUUUAUCAUAAAGAAAACUUAUUUUUGGUUUUUAUCAGUAAAAUUUGCUGUCUGUUUGGUUUAUAAUAUUUGUUCCCAUAUGGAGCUUAAAUUGGACAUUGUUAAGCUUGUGUUGAAGUCUAUACUGGCUAUUGAAGUGGGCAUUUUCUCUUUAAAAUUAAGCUCUGUAUGGAAUUUUAUGGUAUACUUAUUAUUAGUUCAUAUAUUUUACCCGGCAUUGUUUCUGCCUGAUGACCACUUGUGUCUCCAAUGCUCUAUCAUAAUUGAGUUGGACUGUCUACAGAGUUUUUCGUUCUUUCCUGAUAUAUGCUGUCCACUGGCAAUGGGAUCACAAGAAUUGCAGCAUGUGAGAUGUAGGAAAAUAGAAAAUGUCAUUUUUUGUUUCCGAAGUAUCCCUCAUCAACUUGUAGGACUUGUGGAUUGUUUAUGCAAGUGGUUCUUGGAAAAGAUAGGCCAUGCAGGUCUCAACAAUUUGUUGAUGGCGUACGAGGAUAAAUCAGCUUAUGCGUUAUGUGUUUUUUCCCUUGCUCUUGGACCCAAAGCUGAACCCAUUACAUUUCUGGGUAAAACUCCGGGUAAGAUUGUUCCUCCGAGGGGACCAACUGAUUUUGGAUGGGAUCCUAUUUUCCAGCCUGAUGGUUAUGAGCAAACUUAUGCUGAAAUGCCAAAGGAAGAAAAAAACAAAAUAUCUCACCGUUCCAGGGCACUUGCACUGGUGAAGUCUCAUUUUGCAGAAGCUGGUUACACAUUUCAUUCUGACACCACUAUCUGAAUGGUUUAACACCCUUAUCUGCCUCAAAAUAGUUGCAAGCUCUACCUCUCAAAAGUGAGCUUGGAAUGAUAUUAAGUUGGUUUGAAAGGGCAUUGCCUCAAACUUCCAAGCUAAGAGUGUUGAGUGACCACUGAGUUGUCCAUGUCCCCACAAGGACGGUGGGCUACUAUGUUGUUGACUGAGUUUAGAGCUGCCGAUUCUGGAUAUUCACUCACUGUUGGUGCAAAUGGUAUGCAACUCAUGGCCGGGACAAGCAAACGUGUUGACAAAUGCAAUAGCUCAUUUAUUCCACAAUUUCUACUUUACUAGUUUACUUUACAAGAAAGAAAAAAACAAAUAAAGUGACUAUAAUGAGCUGUGAGGCAUUGGGAUGAAAUAUUAAUGCUUCUUUAUAUCUAA